rnacentral:rRNA from 1 species
GGAGGAAGUAGGGGAUCGCAAGACCUUGCGCUUUUGGAGCGGCCGAUGCCUGAUUAGCUUGUUGGUGAGGUAAAAGCUCACCAAGGCUCCGAUCAGUAGCUGGUCUGAGAGGACGACCAGCCACACUGGGACUGAGACACGGCCCAGACUCCUACGGGAGGCAGCAGUGGGGAAUUUUGGACAAUGGGGGCAACCCUGAUCCAGCCAUGCCGCGUGAGUGAAGAAGGCCUUCGGGUUGUAAAGCUCUUUCAGCCGGAACGAAACGGUCACGGUUAAUACCCGUGACUACUGACGGUACCGGAAGAAGAAGCACCGGCUAACUACGUGCCAGCAGCCGCGGUAAUACGUAGGGUGCGAGCGUUAAUCGGAAUUACUGGGCGUAAAGCGUGCGCAGGUGGUUUUGUAAGUCAGAUGUGAAAUCCCCGGGCUUAACCUGGGAACUGCGUUUGAAACUACAAAGCUAG